AGGCUUAGCAGCAUAGGAUUCCGGACUUCCAAGACCAGCGGGGACAAGCAUUUCUUACUCGGCAGGACCUCAGUGUCCAGGUUGCCCUCCAACAUUGUGCUGGAUUCACUGGCAGCUUUGGAACCUACAGCACUGCACCUGAUUAAGAAAAAGGCAAAGGGGAUAAAGAAGACUCUGGUGAAGGAAGAUGGCUGGGCAAAAGUGGUGAGCCAGUUGACAGCAACCCAAGAAGAAGCAAAG